UCCCUCGUGGUCUAGUGGCUAUGAUCUGGCGCUCUCACCGCCAUGACCCGGGUUCGAGUCCCGGCGUGGGAA
rnacentral:tRNA from 1 species